GAUGAACGCUGGCGGCGUGCCUAAUACAUGCAAGUCGAGCGAACGGACGAGAAGCUUGCUUUUCUGAUGUUAGCGGCGGACGGGUGAGUAACAUGUGUAUAACCUCCCUAUAAUACUGGGAUAAUUUCGGGAAACCGGCGCUAAUACCGGAUAAUAUUUUGAACCGCAUGGUUCAAUAGUGAAAGACGGUCUUGCUGUCACUUAUAGAUGGAUCUGCGCUGCAUUAGCUAGUUGGUAAGGUAACGGCUUACCAAGGCAACGAUGCAUAGCCGACCUGAGAGGGUGAUAGGCCACACUGGAGCUGAGACACGGUCCAGACUCCUACGGGAGGCAGCAGUAGGGAAUGUUCCGCAAUGGGCGAAAAUCUGACGGAGCAACGGCACGUGAGUGGUGAAGGUCUUCGGAUCGUGAUACUCUGUUAUGAGGGGAAAACAGAUGUGUAAGUUACUGUGGACAUCGUGACGGUACCUGAUCAGAAAGCCACGGCUAACUACGUG
rnacentral:rRNA from 1 species